UAGAACGUUUAGUCGUUGGCCUUUAUGUUGUACAUGCAGUUGUUUCGCUGACUUUCUUACUUGCGUUGGUGAACAUUUGUUGUUAAACAUGUGGUUAGCAAAAUUUGACUCUGGUUUUGCACUCGGUUUCUGUGUCUUUUUGUUAUAGUCUCGUCUGUGUUCGC